CGAAGUACAGGGUCUGCACAUUCAGACCUUCAUAAAAAUUUAAUUCAGAUUAUUUGAAAUUUAAUCUCUAAUAAAUUAGAUAAGAAUUUGAUUCUUAUUCAUAUAGAUUUAUAAAAAAAUUUUAUAUGCAACCUGAAUCUUUCAAAGAGAAAUAGUUUUCCUUCCCUUCACAAGAGUCAAAGGGAUCAAUUAUACAGUAACUAUAUCCAAGUACAUUUUUUAGUGUUAUUUUGUAUGCAUUCGACCUAUCCGGAU
rnacentral:lncRNA from 1 species